rnacentral:rRNA from 1 species
UACAGAGGGUGCAAGCGUUAUUCGGAAUUACUGGGCGUAAAGCGCACGUAGGCGGCUUAAUAAGUCUGGUGUGAAAUCCCUGGGCUCAACCCAGGACGGUCACUAGAUACUAUUUCGCUUGAGUACAGGAGGGGAGAGUGGAAUUCCAGGUGUAGAGGUGAAAUUCGUAGAUAUCUGGAGGAACAACAGUGGCGAAGGCGACUCUCUGGACUGUAUCGUAAGAUUUAAAUCUGACGCUGAGGUGCGAAAGCG